rnacentral:rRNA from 1 species
GAUGAACGCUGGCGGCGUGCCUAAUACAUGCAAGUCGAGCGAACAGACGAGGAGCUUGCUCCUCUGACGUUAGCGGCGGACGGGUGAGUAACACGUGUAUAACCUACCUAUAAGACUGGGAUAACUUCGGGAAACCGGAGAUAAUACCGGAUAAUAUAUUGAACCGCAUGGUUCAAUAGUGAAAGACGGUUUUGCUGUCACUUAUAGAUGCUUCCGCGCCGCAUUAGCUAGUUGGUAAGUUAACGGCUUACCAAGGCAACGAUGCGUAGCCGACCUGAGAGGGUGAUCGGCCACACUGGAACUGAGACACGGUCCAGACUCCUACGGGAGGCAGCAGUAGGGAAUCUUCCGCAAUGGGCGAAAGCCUGACGGAGCAACGCCGCGUGAGUGAUGAAGGUCUUCGGAUCGUAAAACUCUGUUAUUAGGGAAGAACAAAUGUGUAAGUAACUAUGCACGUCUUGACGGUACCUAAUCAGAAAGCCACGGCUAACUACGUG